GUGAUGAAGAGGAGGAGGAGGAGGUGAUAGAAGACAGUGAUGAUGGUGAUCAUGGUGAUGAAGAGGAGGAGGAGGUGAUAGAAGACAGUGAUGAUGGUGAUCAUGGUGAUGAGGAGGAGGUGAUAGAAGACAGUGAUGAUGGUGAUCAUGGUGAUGAGGAGGAGGUGAUAGAAGACAGUGAUGAUGGUGGUCAUGGUGAUGAGGAGGAGGUGAUAGAAGACAGUGAUGAUGGUGAUCAUGGUGAUGAGGAGGAGGUGAUAGAAGACAGUGAUGAUGGUGAUCAUGGUGAUGAGGAGGAGGUGAUAGAAGACAGUGAUGAUGGUGAUGAGGAGGAGGACGAGGUGAUAGAAGACAGUGAUGAUGGUGAUGAUGAGGAGGAGGAGGUGAUAGAAGACAGCGAUGAUGGUGAUGAUGGUGAUGAGGAGGAGGACGAGGUGAUAGAAGACAGUGAUGAUGGUGAUGAUGGUGAUGAUGAGGAGGAGGAGGUGAUAGAAGACAGUGAUGAUGGUGAUGAUGAGGAGGAGGAGGUGAUAGAAGACAGUGAUGAUGGUGGUCAUUGUGAUGAGGAGGUGAUAGAAGACAGUGAUGAUGGUGGUCAUGGUGAUGAGGAGGAGGUGAUAGAAGACAGUGAUGAUGGUGAUCAUGGUGAUGAGGAGGAGGUGAUAGAAGACAGUGAUGAUGGUGGUCAUGGUGAUGAGGAGGAGGUGAUAGAAGACAGUGAUGAUGGUGAUGAUGGUGAUGAUGAGGAGGAGGAGGUGAUAGAAGACAGUGAUGAUGGUGAUCAUGGUGAUGAUGAGGAGGAGGAGGUGAUAGAAGACAGUGAUGAUGGUGAUCAUGGUGAUGAGGAGG
rnacentral:lncRNA from 1 species